UUGGUCAGGCGGGUCUUGAACUCCUAACCUCAAGUGAUCCACCCGCCUCAGCCUCCCAAAGUGCUGAGAUUACAGGCACCGUGCCCAGCCCAGGAGUGGGUUCCUAAUUAAAGGAUGAGUUUGGUCCCCUUUCCCUCUCACUCUCACAUGUGAUCUCUUGCCCUUCUGUCUUCUGCUGUUAGAUGACGUAGGACAAAGGCCCUCACCAGAUACUGGUGCCAUGCUCUUGGACUUCCCAGUGCCCAGAAACAUGAAGCUUCUAUUGAUAAAUUACCUGGUUUGUGGUAAUCUGUUAUAGCAGCAGGGAACAGACAAAGACACACUCUAUAGUUCUAACCAAUGAGGACAUCUUAUAUGACCUCAACACCAUUAUCACACCCAAUGAAAUAAGUGGUUCCUUGGUAUUAAGAUAAUAGUCAAAAUUCUGUAAUUGUCUCAAAAAUAUCUUUUUACCUCUGGUCUAUUUGAACCAAAAUUCAAGCUAAGUCCACACAUAAUGUUUGGUUGUUAAUCUGCUCUGUUUCUCUUAGUCUCGUAUUCCCUACACAGGCACACUUUGGUAUCAAAGAACACACCAGGAAAGGCCAUCUCUGCCUGUGAGGGGUGAUCAUUGUCAUUGAAAGUGACCCUAGACCUAUCAACCAAAUGUAAUGUGUUGAAUAUUGAUUUUAAUACAUGAGUUGUAAAGUAACAUUUUUGGAGGCAAUCUAAGAAAAUAGAGCAUAACUGGUAAAUUGGUAUAUAAAGGAGUAAUUGUUAAUUUUGUUGACUGUGAUUUGUUGGGUCUUGUGGUUACAUUUAAAAUACCCUUAUCUGUUGGUGGUGUAUACUAUUUCUAGAUGAAACAAUAUUGCUGGAAACAGAUACUCAGUGCCACAAAGAAAAAUCAGCACUGAGACAAAGGAUCUUUCAGCAACGCAAUUUUUACUUCCUGGACUGCAGGAAGGGUACUCUCACUAGCCAUCUUGCCACCAGAGUACAAUGAACGAAGGAAAAGCAGUCAUAUUUAUCCCUAUGCAUUUGGGGUCGUCCUUACUGCUGUGUCUGAUCUCCGUUGGCUGGAGCCAGACCUCACAAUUUAAACUAAAACCUGAUUGGCUAACAACUUAAAACUUUUUUAGACAGGUAAUGGGCAUAGGCUGCCAGCUGGGACCUGCCUGUGAGCACAUCCAGCACAGAUAUCUUGUUAAACUUAUCUUUGGAAUACUGUUAUAGUAGUUUGAUGCAAAAGUAAUUGUGGUUUUUGCCGUUGCUUUCAAUUUCAACUAAUACUCCUCUACUUUUUCUUGU